rnacentral:rRNA from 1 species
AAACCUCAGAAAGCCAAUCUCAGUUCGGAUUGUAGGCUGCAACUCGCCUACAUGAAGUUGGAAUCGCUAGUAAUCGCGAAUCAGAAUGUCGCGGUGAAUACGUUCCCGGGUCUUGUACACACCGCCCGUCACACCACGAGAGUUUACAACACCCGAAGUCAGUGGCCUAACCGUAAGGAGGGAGCUGCCUAAGGUGGGGUAGAUGAUUGGGGUGAAGUCGUAACAAGGUACC